GACGAACGCUGGCGGCGUGCUUAACACAUGCAAGUCGAACGGAAAGGCCUUUUCGGAGGUACUCGAGUGGCGAACGGGUGAGUAACACGUGGGUGAUCUGCCCUGCACUCUGGGAUAAGCCUGGGAAACUGGGUCUAAUACCGGAUAGGACCGCACUUUAGUGUGUGUGGUGGAAAGUUUUUUCGGUGUAGGAUGAGCCCGCGGCCUAUCAGCUUGUUGGUGGGGUAAUGGCCUACCAAGGCGGCGACGGGUAGCCGGACUGCGAGGUUGGUCGGCCACAUUGGGACUGAGAUCCGGCCCAGACUCCUACGGGAGGCAGCAGUGGGGAAUAUUGCACAAUGGGCGCAAGCCUGAUGCAGCGACGCCGCGUGGGGGAUGACGGCCUUCGGGUUGUAAACUCCUUUCGCCAGGGACGAAGCGUUUUGUGACGGUACCUGGAGAAGAAGCACCGGCUAACUACGUG
rnacentral:rRNA from 1 species